rnacentral:snRNA from 1 species
AUUCCUUGAAUGUCGUCUGGAGGAAAUGCUCUGUGGCUGAGUGAUUCAAAAAAAAAAAAAAAAAUCUGUUCUUAUCAGUUUAAUAUCUGAUACGUCCCCUAUCUGGGGACCAUAUAUUAAAUGGAUUUUUGGGACAGGGAGAUGGAAGAAGAGCUUGCUCUGUCCACUCCACGCAUUGACCUGGUAUUGCAGUACCUCCAGGACCGGUGCACCUCUC